rnacentral:lncRNA from 1 species
CAGUGUACUGCCAAGAUAUGAAAUGCUGUUCAUUUCAUGAAAAAGUAAAUUAUGCUUUUUACCAAGGUUUAAAUUGAUGCCAGGUAAUUCCAGUAUUGAGCAUCUUAAAUCUCUUACUUGGAAUAUGGAUUGAGUUUGGCGCUAACUCAGAGGACUACAGGUGGAUAUUACUAUCCCUUAUUCAUGGAAAAAGUUUUAUUCUAAGUGUUGUGUCUCAUUGAGUAUUAGCAAAAAGGAGAAAUAUUAAUGCUUUUGAGAUAGAUUUGGCUCUAGUAAGUACUGAGAUGUAUUAUUUGCAUAUCUGGGAGAAGAAAU